CAGUCGCCACGGUAAUACGAGGGGGGCAAGCGUUGUUCGGAAUUAUUGGGCGUAAAGGGCGCGUAGGCGGUUUGGCAAGUUUGGUGUGAAAUCUUCGGGCUCAACUCGAAGUCUGCAUCGAAAACUGCCGGGCUUGAGUAUGGGAGAGGUGAGUGGAAUUUCCGGUGUAGCGGUGAAAUGCGUAGAUAUCGGAAGGAACACCUGUGGCGAAAGCGGCUCACUGGACCAUUACUGACGCUGAGGCGCGAAAGCUAGGGGAGCAAACAGGAUUAGAUACCCCAGUAGUCCCUGUCUCUUAUAC
rnacentral:rRNA from 1 species